rnacentral:rRNA from 1 species
ACGCUCGACACCUACGGGAGCAGCAGUUGGGAAUAUUGGACAAUGGAGGAAACUCUGAUCCAGUGACGCCGCGUGAAGGAAGAAGGUCUUCGGAUUGUAAACUUAUUUUGUCAGGGAAGAAAAAUGACUGUACCUGAAGAAAAAGCACCGGCUAACUACGUGCCAGCAGCCGACGGUAAUCUGAGGCGGGCGUGGACGAAGGC